rnacentral:rRNA from 1 species
AGUGAACGCUGGCGGUAGGCCUAACACAUGCAAGUCGAACGGCAGCACAGUAAGAGCUUGCUCUUACGGGUGGCGAGUGGCGGACGGGUGAGGAAUACAUCGGAAUCUACUUUUUCGUGGGGGAUAACGUAGGGAAACUUACGCUAAUACCGCAUACGACCUACGGGUGAAAGCAGGGGAUCUUCGGACCUUGCGCGAUUGAAUGAGCCGAUGUCGGAUUAGCUAGUUGGCGGGGUAAAGGCCCACCAAGGCGACGAUCCGUAGCUGGUCUGAGAGGAUGGUCGGCCACACGGGAACUGAGACACGGUCCAGACUCCUACGGGAGGCAGCAGUGGGGAAUAUUGGACAAUGGGCGCAAGCCUGAUCCAGCCAUACCGCGUGGGUGAAGAAGGCCUUCGGGUUGUAAAGCCCUUUUGUUGGGAAAGAAAAGCAGCAGGUUAAUACCCCGCUGUUCUGACGGUACCCAAAGAAUAAGCACCGGCUAACUUCGUG